rnacentral:rRNA from 1 species
GACGAACGCUGGCGGCGUGCCUAAUACAUGCAAGUAGAACGCACAGUUUAUACCGUAGCUUGCUACACCAUAGACUGUGAGUUGUGAACGAGUGAGUAACGCGUAGGUAACCUGCCUGGUAGCGGGGGAUAACUAUUGGAAACGAUAGCUAAUACCGCAUAAUAUUCAUUAUUGCAUAAUAAUUAAUUGAAAGGUGCAAUUGCAUCACUACCAGAUGGACCUGCGGUGUAUUAGCUAGUAGGUGAGGUAACGGGUCACCUAGGCGAAGAGACAUAGCCGACCGGGCAGGGUGAUCGGCCACACUGGGACUGAGACACGGCCCAGACUCCUACGGGGAGCAGCAGUAGGGAAUCUUCGGCAAUGGACGAAAGGCUUACCGAGCAACGCCGCGUGAGUGAAUGAGGGUUUCGGAUCGUAAAGCUCUGUUGUAAGAGAAGAACGAGUGUGGGAGUGGAAAGUUCACACUGUGACGGUAUCUUACCAGAAAGGGACGGCUAACUACGUG